rnacentral:rRNA from 1 species
UAAUACGUAGGGGGCAAGCGUUGUCCGGAUUUAUUGGGCGUAAAGAGCGUGUAGGCGGCUUGGUAGGUCCGCUGUGAAAACUCGAGGCUUAACCUCGAGAUGUCGGCGGAAACCACUUGGCUAGAGUCCGGAAGAGGAGAGUGGAAUUCCCGGUGUAGCGGUGAAAUGCGCAGAUAUCGGGAAGAACACCUAUGGCGAAGGCAGCUCUCUGGGACGGUACUGACGCUGAGACGCGAAAGCGUGGGGAGCGAACAGGAUUAGAUACCCUGGUAGUCCACGCCGUAAACGAUGGGUGCUAGGUGUGGGCGGUGUCGACUCCGUCCGUGCCGAAGCUAACGCAUUAAGCACCCCGCCUGGGGAGUACGGCCGCAAGGCUA